AUACGUAGGGGGCAAGCGUUGUCCGGAAUUAUUGGGCGUAAAGCGCGCGCAGGCGGUCUUUUAAGUCUGAUGUGAAAUCUCGCGGCUCAACCGCGAGCGGUCAUUGGAAACUGGGAGACUUGAGUGUAGGAGAGGAAAGUGGAAUUCCACGUGUAGCGGUGAAAUGCGUAGAGAUGUGGAGGAACACCAGUGGCGGAGGCGACUUUCUGGCCUACAACUGACGCUGAGGCGCGAAAGCGUGGGUAGCGAACAGGAUUAGAUACCCUGGUAGUCCACGCCGUAAACGAUGAGUGCUAGGUGUUAGGGGUUUCCAUACCCUUAGUGCCGGCGUUAACACAUUAAGCACUCCGCCUGGGGAGUACGGCCGCAAGGCUGAA
rnacentral:rRNA from 1 species